rnacentral:lncRNA from 1 species
GCUUAGUCCCUGGAAGCUCUGGUUGCUUGGCAUUGUUGUACAUAUGGGGUCUCGAGCCCCUUCAAGCUCUUCCAGUUCUUUCUCUGAUUCCUUCAACGGGGGUCCUAUUCUCAGUUCAGUGGUUUGCUGCUGGCAUUCGCCUCUGUAUUUUCAGCUGAAUAUUUUUAAUAGAGUUCACAACCUUCAUAAUCGACACCGUUCCUAAGGGACCAGGCUGCACAGGUGAUAGCUUCCCAUUCUCUAAGGCUUAAGUGUGUAUGAGAGAAAGUAAAGAACUGUGCAAGCUGGUCCUCUAGUGCUUAGGCUUCACGAAGAGGGAGGUGCUGUUUCUGAAUCAGCCCGUUGACCUAAGACUUAGCUGGAGAUAACUUGGUUUAAAAAUUUUGGCUUUGUUAUAAAAAUGGAAACCAUCAAAACAGAUUAUUUUUUUCCAAGAACAACACAGAAACUGAGAAUUGAGUUUAUACAGUGAAUUUGACCAGGUUUAAGUACUAGAAUUAAUGUCUGUUUACAACAGCUUCCCUCCCACCUCUUCAGUCAUGAUACUCAUUCCAUGUCAUGAGACCAAAGCAGAGGGCUCAGCACUGGUGGUACAUUCUUAGUAUUCUGCCUUUGGUUUUUCUGCUUCAGAGGAACUUUGGAUAAAGUACUUAGCCAUACAGUGGCUUGUUGUGUCAGCGGGUACUUACAGUUCACUUGGUUGGGAACACUUAACUAAAUCACUGUCAAUAGAAACAUGGGGUUUGUCUGCAGCACC